rnacentral:rRNA from 1 species
AGUGAACGCUGGCGGUAGGCCUAACACAUGCAAGUCGAACGGCAGCACAGUAAGAGCUUGCUCUUACGGGUGGCGAGUGGCGGACGGGUGAGGAAUACAUCGGAAUCUACUUUUUCGUGGGGGAUAACGUAGGGAAACUUACGCUAAUACCGCGUACGACCUACGGGUGAAAGCAGGGGAUCUUCGGACCUUGCGCGAUUGAAUGAGCCGAUGUCGGAUUAGCUAGUUGGCGGGGUAAAGGCCCACCAAGGCGACGAUCCGUAGCUGGUCUGAGAGGAUGAUCAGCCACACUGGAACUGAGACACGGUCCAGACUCCUACGGGAGGCAGCAGUGGGGAAUAUUGGACAAUGGGUGCAAGCCUGAUCCAGCCAUACCGCGUGGGUGAAGAAGGCCUUCGGGUUGUAAAGCCCUUUUGUUGGGAAAGAAAAGCAGCAGGUUAAUACCCCGCUGUUCUGACGGUACCCAAAGAAUAAGCACCGGCUAACUUCGUG